UAAUAAUUGUGCUUAUGCUGUUUAGUACCAUACAUUUCGAUUCAUUCUAGCAUCUAAAUGUAACCAGCGUCCUUGCUCAUUCGGUUGUGAAUUUUUCCAAUCCUUCAUGAAUAUGGGUUUUUUAGGAGAUUCAUUCCCAUUUUCUAGGUCUUUUUUGCCAAAAUCAUCAGCAUCCAUUUCAGGAGGGAGAGAAAAAAGAGAAUUGAAGCGGUAGCGAAACGGAUUCUUAAAUCAUCAAUGCAAUCGCAAACAAGCAUAAGUAAUUGGGGGUUUUUUUUAAUUCUAUUUUGUUAUAAUAUUAUUAAAAAUGAAUCAUAUACAAAUUUUAUUACGAAGAAAUUUACAUUAUUUCAUUUGAUUAACUAGGAUCUAAUACAUUAGGCAUAACUUAAAACAUUCCUCAAGUUAGGCUGUAAAUUGAAGAAUUGAUUUG